UAUGACAGAAUUUAGAACAUUAUUGUAAUUUUAAAUUUCUGUAAAUACUACCGUAAUUGUCGAGGAGUUUUACUAAGCUUAUUAACUUAUAUUUAAAGAAUGAAGCAAGUAGAUACAUCUACAAUGGGUUUGAUUAAGCUAAUAAAUCAAAUUGAUUAAAAGUAACACCAAAAAGUAUAUUAAAAGGUCUUAAAUUACAACACACACACGCCAAAAAAAACAUUAAAUGUUAAGGAUAUUUAAAGUGAUUCUGAAUACACCCCUGUGCUGUGGGGUUACGGAUAUUUGACUUUGUUUGAAUUUCCGUUGGAGCAGAAUAUGGAAAUUUAGCUGGCACGAGAAAGAAAUGUGAUACGGUGAUCGAUUUUAGCGUUAAAAAAUGUGAGCAUCAAUAUUUUUUUUCUAAUUUAAUAACUUUACUUUUUCCUUACCUAAUAUUAAUAUGCGCCGAUCUUCUUCAAAUUUGUUAAAAACUUUCGUAUAUUUUAUGUACAAUAUUAAUCUAUUACAUAUUCAUGUGUAGAAUAUCAAAUUCAUAACGAAUAAUCGCCCUCAGAUUUACAACACAACAGCUUUCUUCUAAGUCCGAUAGUAAAUAACAAAUAACAUAACACAACAAAUUAUAUAACAUUAUAUAGCACACACUAUAGAACAAAAAAUAUUAAAAAACGCCAUGGUCAUUUUUUAAAAGGGAA